rnacentral:rRNA from 1 species
AACGCGUAUAGAAUCUACCUUAUACUGGGGGAUAGCCUUUGGAAACGAAGAUUAAUACCCCAUAGUAUUAUUUUUUGGCAUCAUUAAAUAAUUAAAGUUUCGGCGGUAUAAGAUGACUAUGCGUUCUAUUAGUUAGUUGGUAAGGUAACGGCUUACCAAGACUUCGAUAGAUAGGGGUCCUGAGAGGGAGAUCCCCCACACUGGUACUGAGACACGGACCAGACUCCUACGGGAGGCAGCAGUGAGGAAUAUUGGACAAUGGAGGCAACUCUGAUCCAGCCAUGCCGCGUGUAGGAAGACUGCCCUAUGGGUUGUAAACUACUUUUAUAUGGGAAGAAUAAGAUCUACGUGUAGAUUGAUGACGGUACCAUAAGAAUAAGCACCGGCUAACUCCGUGCCAGCAGCCGCGGUAAUACGGAGGGUGCAAGCGUUAUCCGGAAUCAUUGGGUUUAAAGGGUCCGUAGGCGGGCAUAUAAGUCAGUGGUGAAAGUCUGUGGCUUAACCAUAGAAUUGCCAUUGAUACUGUAUGUCUUGAAUUAUUGUGAAGUGGUUAGAAUAUGUAGUGUAGCGGUGAAAUGCUUAGAGAUUACAUAGAAUACCGAUU